GACGAACGCUGGCGGCGUGCUUAACACAUGCAAGUCGAACGGAAAGGCCCUGCUUUUGUGGAGUGCUCGAGUGGCGAACGGGUGAGUAACACGUGAGUAACCUGCCCUUGACUUUGGGAUAACUUCAGGAAACUGGGGCUAAUACCGGAUAGGAGCUCCUGCUGCAUGGUGGGGGUUGGAAAGUUUCGGCGGUUGGGGAUGGACUCGCGGCUUAUCAGCUUGUUGGUGGGGUAGUGGCUUACCAAGGCUUUGACGGGUAGCCGGCCUGAGAGGGUGACCGGCCACAUUGGGACUGAGAUACGGCCCAGACUCCUACGGGAGGCAGCGGUGGGGAAUAUUGCACAAUGGGCGGAAGCCUGAUGCAGCAACGCCGCGUGCGGGAUGACGGCCUUCGGGUUGUAAACCGCUUUCGCCUGUGACGAAGCGUGAGUGACGGUAAUGGGUAAAGAAGCACCGGCUAACUACGUG
rnacentral:rRNA from 1 species